rnacentral:rRNA from 1 species
ACGGGAGGCAGCAGUGGGGAAUAUUGCACAGUGGGGGAAACCCUGAUGCAGCGACGCCGCGUGAGUGAAGAAGUAUUUCGGUAUGUAGAGCUCUAUCAGCAAGGAAGAAAAUGACGGUACUUGACUAAGAAGCCCCGGCUAACUACGUGCCAGCAGCCGCGGUAAUACGUAGGGGGCAAGCGUUAUCCGGAUUUACUGGGUGUAAAGGGAGCGUAGACGGCAUAGCAAGUCUGAAGUGAAAUGCGGGGGCUCAACCCCUGAACUGCUUUGGAAACUGUUAAGCUAGAGUGCAGGAGAGGUAAGUGGAAUUCCUAGUGUAGCGGUGAAAUGCGUAGAUAUUAGGAGGAACACCAGUGGCGAAGGCGGCUUACUGGACUGUAACUGACGUUGAGGCUCGAAAGCGUGGGGAGCAAACAGGAUUAGAUACCCUGGUA